AACAAACGCUGGCGGCGUGCCUAAUACAUGCAAGUCGAACGAGGAAAGCUUUCGGGUGAGUACUAGUGGCGCACGGGUGAGGGAUAUAUGGGUAAUCUGACCUCGAGUUGGGGAUAACCAGUCGAAAGACUGGCUAAUACCGAAUAAGACCACAGGAUCUGCGGAUCUAGGGGUUAAAGGUUUUUCGCUUGAGGAUGAGCCCAUACGGGAUUAGCUAGUUGGUGAGGUAAUGGCUCACCAAGGCUACGAUCCCUAACUGGUCUUAGAGGAUGAUCAGUCACACUGGAACUGAGACACGGUCCAGACUCCUACGGGAGGCAGCAGUAGGGAAUAUUGCACAAUGGGGGAAACCCUGAUGCAGCGACGCCGCGUGAGUGAUGAAGGCCUUCGGGUCGUAAAGCUCUGUCGUAUGGGACUAACACAAUGAAGGUACCAUGCAAGAAAGGAUCGGCUAACUUCGUGCCAGCAGCCGCCGUAA
rnacentral:rRNA from 1 species